rnacentral:rRNA from 1 species
CAAUCGAACCCGGAGAUAGCUGGUUCUCCCCGAAAUAGCUUUAGGGCUAGCCUCACGUGAUGAGUUGUGGAGGUAGAGCACUGAUUGGGCUAGGGGCCUUACCAGGUUACCAAACCCGUUCAAACUCCGAAUGCCAUAACUUUAGCGUGGGAGUCAGACUGCGAGUGAUAAGAUCCGUAGUCGAAAGGGAAACAGCCCAGACCAUCAGCUAAGGUCCCCAAGUACGGGCUAAGUGGAAAAGGAUGUGGAGUUGCACAGACAACCAGGAUGUUGGCUUAGAAGCAGCCAUUCAUUUAAAGAGUGCGUAAUAGCUCACUGGUCAAGUGAUUCUGCGCCGAAAAUGUACCGGGGCUCAAGCCCGUCACCGAAGCUAUGGAUUACCGCUAAUUUCACCGAGAGUUUGCUUGCGACACCGAGGGUGCGCAGCAGCUGAGGUGUCGCUAAAUGAGUUUAGUGAAAGCCUGGUCGCUUGCGACACCGAGGGUGCGCAGCAGCUGAGGUGUCGCUAAAUGAGUUUAGCGAAAACCCGGAUCAACAAACUCUGGGUGAAAUUAGCGGUAGUGGUAGGGGAGCGUUGUGUUCAGCGUAGAAGCCGUACCGUAAGGAGCGGUGGAGCGGACACAAGUGAGAAUGCAGGAAUAAGUAGCGAAAAGACAGGUGAGAAUCCUGUCCGCCGCAAGCCUAAGGUUUCCUGAGGAAGGUUCGUCCACUCAGGGUAAGCCGGGACCUAAGCCGAGGCCGAAAGGCGUAGGCGAUGGAUAACGGGUUAAAAUUCCCGUGCCACCGACGUUCGUUUGAGCGAAGAGGGGACACAGGAGGGUAGGUUGAGCCGGUGAUUGGUAGAGCCGGUCUAAGCGAGCAGGGUGUCUGGCAGGCAAAUCCGCCAGGCAACAGCCCGAGACGCGAAUGGGAGCGACACUACGGUGAAGCGAAGCAACUGACCCCAAACUGUCGAGAAAAGCCUCUAGUGAGAGCGUUGGUGUCCGUACCGCAAACCGACACAGGUAGGCGAGGAGAGAAUCCUAAGGCGCGCGAGAGAACCCUUGUUAAGGAACUCGGCAAAAUGACCCCGUAACUUAGGGAUAAGGGGUGCCGCCGCGAGGCGGUUGCAGAGAAACGGCCCAAGCGACUGUUUACCAAAAACACAGGUCCCUGCUAAGUCGUAAGACGACGUAUAGGGGCUGACGCCUGCCCAGUGCCGGAAGGUUAAGGGGAGGAGUUAGGCGUAAGCCAAAGCUUCGAACUUAAGCCCCGGUAAACGGCGGCCGUAACUAUAACGGUCCUAAGGUAGCGAAAUUCCUUGUCGGGUAAGUUCCGACCUGCACGAAUGGCGUAACGACUUGGGCGCUGUCUCGACGAGGGGCUCGGCGAAAUUGUAAUACCUGUGAAGAUGCAGGUUACCCGCGGUUAGACGGAAAGACCCCGUGGAGCUUCACUGCAACUUGACAUUGAGUUUUGGUAUUCUUUGUACAGGAUAGGUGGGAGACUGUGAGUCAUGGGCGCUAGCCUGUGAGGAGUCAACCUUGGGAUACCACCCUGAGUGUACUGGAAUUCUAACCGCACACCGUGAUCCGGUGGCGGGACAUUGUCAGGUGGGCAGUUUGACUGGGGCGGUCGCCUCCCAAACAGUAACGGAGGCGCGCAAAGGUUCGCUCAGUGCGGUUGGAAAUCGCGCGUCGAGUGUAAAGGCAGAAGCGAGCUUAACUGCGAGACAAACAAGUCGAGCAGGGUCGAAAGACGGCCUUAGUGAUCCGGUGGUUCCGAGUGGAAGGGCCAUCGCUCAACGGAUAAAAGCUACCC